UACGAAGGGGGCUAGCGUUGCUCGGAAUUAUUGGGCGUAAAGCGCGUGUAGGCGGCUUUGCAAGUCGGGUGUGAAAGCCCUCGGCUCAACCGAGGAAGUGCGCCCGAAACUGCAGAGCUUGAGUACCGGAGAGGAUGGCGGAAUUCCCCAAGUAGAGGUGAAAUUCGUAGAUAUGGGGAGGAACACCGGUGGCGAAGGCGGCCAUCUGGACGGAGACUGACGCUGAGACGCGAAAGCGUGGGGAGCGAACAGG
rnacentral:rRNA from 1 species